CAAAGAACCAUUUCUAAACAGGCCUGACCUAGCACCAUAGCAGCUAUCUGGCUUCUGAGAUGAGCAACCUGAAGGAAGAAGUUACUUCUGCCCUAAGGAUACACCGUGGCCCUGACCGGGAGUCCCAGCAGGCGGGUGGAUCUCCCCUCCCAGCAGGAAGGUAGGUACAGCCUUUGCAGGGUGGCUUAGGUGAGACUGGGAUAAGGAAAUGCCAGCCUGGGGGAGGGGGCCGCUGGGAGGAGCGCCAGGGCCUAGGAGCCUGUCCAUGGGGAUACCGUAGCUAACAUUCCCUGUGUGUAGCAUUCACCAGGCUUUGCAGCAGCACCCCUAACAGAAGGCCUCCAAGGGUUACCAGUCUCAGAAUGACAAGUUUUAACCAACCCCAGGGUGUGGCUAGGAGUGGCUCUGGGGGAGGGGGGAUGGCUGGGACGGCUGGGAGCUGAGCCUGGAGCUGUGUGCACCACUUCCCUUGACCUUUGAGGUAGGUGCUGGAGUUGUGAGCCCACUUGCAGGUGAGCACAAGAAGAGGGUCACCUGCUUGGGGUCCGCAGCCUGGCAGGGAGGGGGCAGGGUUCCAGUCUCACUCGUAACAGCCUGCAGUGCAUCCUGCUCCUCCCAUGCUGUCACCAAGAAAAGAGAGCCUGGCCUUCUCCCCUAGAACUUGUCCUGGACCACCAUCCUGGGCACAUCUGAGUUUACCAGACACCGAGGCAUCCAGCCCCAGGAGCGCCCGGCACCCAGGGCUCAGCAUUCUGUAAUCUCCUGGUGCCCUGUGUAGCUCAGGCUUUAAGAGCGUCUGUCCUCCCUACCAGCUCUUCCUGGGUCCUCCCUCGCUCCUGCACCAAUGUGCUCUGGGUGCCACUUACCUUCCUGCCACUGUGGCUGCUCCAGGGUGCUAAAGAGCUCUGCCUGCAUUCUCCAGUGAGCAGGAGGCCAUGGUCAUGGUUCAAGGCCUUGGGUAGUCAGUGGCAGGCCAGCCGAGGCAGAGACCUUGGUUUGUCCGGAGCCGAGGAAACCUUGUCUGAGAGCUCAGGGGAGUUUACCACACUGAUCACGCCAGGGUGAGGAGUGACAGACCCACCACAUCCUGCAGUCCCCAGGAGUCCACCCACUGUCACUGCAGCUCCGGGUCUUCAGCUCUUCCUGUCCUCCACCUCAACCUUCCUUCCUGUCUAGUUUUAAAAGCUAACAGCCUCGCCGACAAAUGGGUGAGCCGCUUGGCCCCAGGCUUACCUCCUUGGUUUUGUCACAUCCCCCAGAAGUCUAGAGAGUAGGGAAAUGAUGCUGGGUCUCCAUGCUGGGACUGAGCAUCCCACAGCAUGUGGUCAGGAUGGGUACAGUGCCAAAACUGUUGACAUGUCACCCUCUGUCCUCUGACAACAGGCUCCGUCAGUAGGUUGGGGGUGGGGAAGCAAGGGGGCAGGGAGGAAGUGAGCACCUGGUUUAGGUCACACUGCUUAAGAGGCAGCCAGUGAGGCCAGAAUGCCUGUGCACUUCCAGGCUUCGAUACCCCAUGACCUUCCUCUUAUUAGACCACAUUCUUUUCACCCCAAAAGUACUUCUGACCUAGCCCUAUCCUAUGUCUCCCUGCGAGUCAGUGGAUCCUGUAACAGCAGCACGUAGCUGGUCACAGCAGGAAGGUCACUCUGUCCCUGAGGUGGGCCUCAUAGCGUCCUGCUCUGACAGAGACAUCAAAGGGCCAAAAAGCUUGCAAUAAACGGACUAUUUAGAAGGUCUCCUAGCACCAGGGGGAAGCCAUUUUCUGUGAUGGCUCUUAGUGAGUUGUGUGACAGGGGCUCUUUAGCAAGCACACAGAGUGACAGUCUACUGAGUUCCAGUGUUGACAGCAGCCUGCCUGCAGGGAUGCAGGAGGAACCGUUAGUUCUCGUUUCCCACUGAGAGGGUAGGAUUUUGGUGGUGGUGAGAAAUACUGUUUCAGGACACCUUCUACCCAUCUCCUUCGCAACUGAGCACAGAGAAGCAAGCCAGGAGCUGGGACACAGUGCCAGACCAUGAGGAGCCUGAUGAGGCUCUAGGCAAACAGAGCAGAGUUGGUGGCUGUGGUCCUGGCCAAGGAGUACAACAAAGGUGCCUGAACCAGGUGCCUACCAGACGUUGGACGCCACAGGGGCCUUGUGGGCCUGUCACACUCACCUGUCACCUGAGGCCCAAGAGGCUGAGCCUGCCUCCUCUGGGGACCUGGCAGGAGAGGAAACAGACUCCUUCCUGAGAAUCUUGAGGGAAUAUCCUGGUGCAAUAGCCACCAGCCCCAUACAUGGGCUAUUCUGGUGUGUGUGUGCGCGUGCGUGCGUGCGUGCGUGUGUGCGUGUGUGUGUGUGUGUGUGAAUACACAUACACACAUGCCCGAGUACACACAUUUCUCAGGGUCAUCUUCACUCUGAGACUUUGUUCCCCGAGAGCAGGGCAGCAGGGCAGUUAGCAGGCUCAGUUCUUCCUAACAUGGGGAGUAUGAAGCUUCCAGCCUGCAGUCAGGGCCUUUCCCUGUGGUCUUUUAUCCAAGCUCGACUGUGGUUCAACACAGACGGCUUUAGGUGGACCAGCCUAGGCCAUGGCAAGGGCUGGACCACAGAAGUGAACAGGCUGGAGCUCUGGUCACUUUACCCAGACCUCCAUGUCCACCCACACCAUGUCCCUGUGUUCAACACACAUUCUGUCGUGGGGCUAAGUACUUCUUGUGCUAACCAAACAAAGGCAGGGUGGCUUCUAGAAGAGGACCCCUCACUUUAUUCAGUGAGUGGUCCCAGUGCCCAUGUGGCUUCAGAUCACCGAAGGGUGAAGCAGCCAUACAUCUUGAGGGUCCCAGUGCCAUCAUGUGGGAGCCGGCGUGUUUGCGGGAAGGUUUAGGGGUUGAGGGAUCUGUCAUUGGGUACCCAUGGCACUUGGCUUCUAAUUGCCUGCCUGCCUGGUAAUCAUGGGCAGGACUGGCCAGGACACAUUCCACAAACACCAAGCUUUGUUCUGACCUCCCUGGCCUCUAAGAUCAGCUCAUAAAUCCUUCCCAGGAAUCUGUCCUUGAUGUCAUGGCUUUCUCGUAGUGCUAGGAACUGAACAGAACCUUAGGUAUACUUUAUCACCAAGCCACACUGCAGCUCCUAAAAGAAUGGCUGGCUGAUCUUUCUUUCGACGUGGCCUGGCACAACUCUAGGUCAGUGUUAACAAAGCAAGCUGAUUCAGUAGGUCCAACAGGCCCAGCCUGGCACUUGUGACACUCCAGGUGACACUGAGACUGUCCCUGGCCUGUUCCCCUGAGCAGCAGCAGCUGGAGUUAGUGCCUGUGCAGACAGUAACAAGUGGCAUCUGCAUGUGUUCUUAGGGAUGUACAUCAGCGGACAGUAAGCAGUCAAGGUCAGAACACGUGCAAAGGCGUUGGUGGGCGGCAGGGCGGAGGGCCCCAGCUCACUGUGUGUUCCCCACAGCUUUCCCAGAGAGGAGUGUCUAAGUUUAUU
rnacentral:sRNA from 1 species